UACGUAGGUCCCGAGCGUUGUCCGGAUUUAUUGGGCGUAAAGCGAGCGCAGGUGGUUUAUUAAGUCUGGUGUAAAAGGCAGUGGCUCAACCAUUGUAUGCAUUGGAAACUGGUAGACUUGAGUGCAGGAGAGGAGAGUGGAGUUCCAUGUGUAGCGGUGAAAUGCGUAGAUAUAUGGAGGAACACCGGUGGCGGAAGCGGCUCUCUGGCCUGUAACUGACACUGAGGCUCGAAAGCGUGGGGAGCAAACAGG
rnacentral:rRNA from 1 species